rnacentral:rRNA from 1 species
AACGCUAGCUACAGGCUUAACACAUGCAAGUCGAGGGGCAGCAUGACCUAGCAAUAGGUUGAUGGCGACCGGCGCACGGGUGAGUAACACGUAUCCAACCUGCCCUUUACUCGGGGAUAGCCUUUCGAAAGAAAGAUUAAUACCCGAUAGCAUAAUGAUUCCGCAUGGUUUCAUUAUUAAAGGAUUCCGGUAAAGGAUGGGGAUGCGUUCCAUUAGGUUGUUGGUGAGGUAACGGCUCACCAAGCCUUCGAUGGAUAGGGGUUCUGAGAGGAAGGUCCCCCACAUUGGAACUGAGACACGGUCCAAACUCCUACGGGAGGCAGCAGUGAGGAAUAUUGGUCAAUGGGCGUUAGCCUGAACCAGCCAAGUAGCGUGAAGGAUGAAGGCUCUAUGGGUCGUAAACUUCUUUUAUAUAAGAAUAAAGUGCAGUAUGUAUACUGUUUUGUAUGUAUUAUAUGAAUAAGGAUCGGCUAACUCCGUGCCAGCAGCCGCGGUAAUACGGAGGAUCCGAGCGUUAUCCGGAUUUAUUGGGUUUAAAGGGAGCGUAGGUGGACUGGUAAGUCAGUUGUGAAAGUUUGCGGCUCAACCGUAAAAUUGCAGUUGAUACUGUCAGUCUUGAGUACAGUAGAGGUGGGCGGAAUUCGUGGUGUAGCGGUGAAAUGCUUAGAUAUCACGAAGAACUCCGAUUG